rnacentral:rRNA from 1 species
CAGUAGCCGCGGUAAUACGUAGGGUGCGAGCGUUAAUCGGAAUUACUGGGCGUAAAGCGUGCGCAGGCGGUUAUAUAAGACAGAUGUGAAAUCCCCGGGCUCAACCUGGGACCUGCAUUUGUGACUGUAUAGCUAGAGUACGGUAGUGGGGGAUGGAAUUCCGCGUGUAGCAGUGAAAUGCGUAGAUAUGCGGAGGAACACCGAUGGCGAAGGCAAUCCCCUGGACCUGUACUGACGCUCAUGCACGAAAGCGUGGGGAGCAAACAGGAUUAGAUACCCGCGUAGUCCCUGUCUCUUAUAC